CACCAUAUUUCCACCCACAGUCACCACCUGUUUUGGCUAGGGGAGGCAGAGCAGAUGCUGUUGCUGGUUUCAGAAUCUACCCUGCUUGGUACAUUUUAUUGUGCUCUUUACCUAGAACACUGCAACUUGAUCUUGACAGAAAAUUAUCAAAAAUCACAGCAGAGUGUGGGACAGAUUUCUGAUGUGAUACUUAAUAGCAUUAAGCACCAGAGAUUCUCUGAUGAAGCCAAUGUCCAUUAAGAUACUUCUUUAGACACCCCAAUCCUAGCCUUGGCUUGCACUCACUUUAGCUCCAGGCACAGCUGAGCAACCGCAGAACAACAUCUGACAUCUGCAAGAAUGUAGUAUGGCUAUGUACUCUCCAAAGUGAUUUUUUUUUAUAUGCAAGAGAACUUAACUUGUUCCCUAUCUGGCUGAGACAAAUCUGGAAGAUUUAUCUGGCUUGAAGAACCAGUCUCACAUAACCAGUUUUAACUAGGUAAUAGUCAAAUAGGGAUACACUGUCUUCCCACAGGGACAAGGGGAGAGGAAUAGGGUUGGAGGAAAGGAGCUAAAGGAUCUUUAUUACCCUCUAUCUUCAUUAGUACAUACUUGUAUCAUGUAACCAGUAGUACAGUGAGUAGUAGCACAGGCCUGCAUUUAUGUUCUGGCUCCCCAAAUCUGCAGGUUGAAAGCACUGUGUAAGAGAUUAUUUAGUAGUGAUGCAGAGAAGCAGCAUGAAAAGUUAAAUUAAACUGGGAAGGGGAAAACAUAAGCUGAAUGUUGGCACAAAGCUUCCUGCCGCUCUGACAUAAGAGACCCUAGAAGGAUUGCUUCUCGAGGAAUCAAUGGCACAGAGCAGAAGAGCUGCCAGGAGUGGCCACCAAACCGGGCCAAGGGUGGCCCAAGGGCGGUCAGUCGCAUGUUGUCCAUCACCUCCGAUGGACUUCAGGGAAGACUCGGGAGCACUAUUAAUUCUUAGAGGAGCUGUGCAAAAACCGCGCUUAAGCUUUGUAAGUAUAAAAGACAAAAGUAGUUUAAUGUCUCCUUUCCCAAUCUUGUUCUCAGCUUAAAUUAAUUACAUUCAUAAAGUAUUAUUAAAAACUAAUCUGGG
rnacentral:lncRNA from 1 species